ensembl:ncRNA asRNA:CR45944 antisense RNA:CR45944
CUUCACUUCACUCCACUCAACACACAAACCUUUGUUUUGGUAUAUUGGUGUCUGUGGUGGUGUUGCUGUGGUUUUUGGCUCUAAAGGUGGAGGCCGUGGAGGAGGCGGUGGAUGCCAGCGAAUGGAGCAACCGCUUAUGGAACGGCACAUUGUGACGCCGGGGAGUUGCCGCGGAAGAAUUGGAGGCGCUAGUGUUGCUCAGGGAACUGGAAUGAUGGGAUGAUGUGGCCGCCGUUGCCGGCAGCACAGGUGUUCCCGGUCGCUGCUGCUGCUGUUGCUGCAGAUGUUGCUGGUGGUAAUGCUGCUGCUGGUAGGACGACGACGACGACGACGACGACGAUGAUGAAGAUGAUGACGAGGACGACUUAUUGCCACUGCCACCGGUAACUGCUGCUCGCAGCGCAGGCGAUCCCAGCGGUUGCUGCGGUCGCUUGUUGUUGCUGAUGUUGCUAAUGCUGCUACUGCUGUUGCACUGGGCGCUGAAAUUUGUUUUUU